UACAGAGGUCCCAAGCGUUGUUCGGAUUUACUGGGCGUAAAGGGUGCGUAGGCGGUUGGGUAAGUCUGACGUGAAAUCUCCGAGCCUAACUCGGAAACUGCGUUGGAUACUAUCCGGCUAGAGGAAUGGAGGGGAGACUGGAAUACUUGGUGUAGCAGUGAAAUGCGUAGAUAUCAAGUGGAACACCAGUGGCGAAGGCGGCUCUCUGGACCGUAACUGACGCUGAGGCGCGAAAGCGUGGGGAGCAAACAGG
rnacentral:rRNA from 1 species